CCUACGGGUGGCAGCAGUGAGGAAUAUUGGUCAAUGGACGAGAGUCUGAACCAGCCAAGUAGCGUGAAGGAUGACUGCCCUAUGGGUUGUAAACUUCUUUUAUAUGGGAAUAAAAUGUUCCACGUGUGGGAUUUUUUAUGUACCAUAUGAAUAAGGAUCGGCUAACUCCGUGCCAGCAGCCGCGGUAAUACGGAGGAUCCGAGCGUUAUCCGGAUUUAUUGGGUUUAAAGGGAGCGUAGAUGGGUUGUUAAGUCAGUUGUGAAAGUUUGCGGCUCAAACGUAAAAUUGCAAUUGAUACUGGCAGCCUUGAGUACAGUUGAGGUAGGCGGAAUUCGUGGUGUAGCGGUGAAAUGCUUAGAUAUCACGAAGAACUCCGAUUGCGAAGGCAGCUUACUAAACUGCCACUGACAUUGAUGCUCGAAAGUGUGGGUAUCAAACAGGAUUAGAUACCCUGGUAGUC
rnacentral:rRNA from 1 species